rnacentral:rRNA from 1 species
CCUACGGGUGGCUGCAGUGGGGAAUAUUGCACAAUGGGGGAAACCCUGAUGCAGCGACGCCGCGUGAGUGACGAAGUAAUUCGUUAUGUAAAGCUCUAUCAGCAGGGAAGAAAAUAACGGUACCUGAGUAAGAAGCCCCGGCUAACUACGUGCCAGCAGCCGCGGUAAUACGUAGGGGGCAAGCGUUAUCCGGAUUUACUGGGGGUAAAGGGAGCGUAGACGGCAGUGCAAGUCUGAGGUGAAAGGCGGGGGCUCAACCCCCGGACUGCUCUUGAAACUGUACGGCUUGAGUGCAGGAGAGGUAAGGGGAAUUCCUAGUGUAGCGGGGAAAUGCGUAGAUAUUAGGAGGAACACCAGUGGCGAAGGCGGCCUACUGGACUGUAACUGACGUUGAGGCUCGAAAGCGUGGGGAGCAAACAGGAUUAGAUACCCUGGUAGUC